UACGAAGGGGGGCUAGCGUUGCUCGGAAUCACUGGGCGUAAAGGGUGCGUAGGCGGGUCUUUAAGUCAGGGGUGAAAUCCUGGAGCUCAACUCCAGAACUGCCUUUGAUACUGAAGAGCUUGAGUCCGGGAGAGGUGAGUGGAACUGCGAGUGUAGAGGUGAAAUUCGUAGAUAUUCGCAAGAACACCAGUGGCGAAGGCGGCUCACUGGCCCGGUACUGACGCUGAGGUGGCGAAAGCGUGGGGAGCAAACAGG
rnacentral:rRNA from 1 species